rnacentral:tRNA from 1 species
AGAAACUUAGGUUAACGUAAACCAAGGGCCUUCAAAGCCCUAAACAGAAGUCACCCCCCUUCUAGUCUCUG